GUGUUGAUUGUUUCUCUUAGGAGAUACUAGAUUAUAGUCCAGACUUCCCUGUAAAGGGCAGCUCUGAAAAUUGAAGCACAGACUGAAAAUGCAGCAGCUUGGUACACUGAUUUGCUCUUCUCGGUUUUCUUCCCUCCCUCCCGUUUCGGAGGUGUGGUGUGUCUAUGAGUGCUGAAUGAGAGCAGGGGUGGCUUGUCCCCAGAGCUGCUGAGCUGUCUGGAUCCCAGCAAGUUCCUGUGACUACUGUACCACCUAAACUGUUUGGGGAUUAAAAUAGUGCAAUGGAUGGUAGAAGAUUAGGCACUUGAAGAGCUGCUUGUACCCGGUUAAGUAUUUGAGGUGCGUGCUGGAGAAGAUGCAGAAGCUGGCACUUGCUGCAGGGGGUCUAUAAAAUGCCACUGGCUUCUAGGAGAUGGAGGAGGUGUAUACAGAAGGUCUGAAAGGUGGAAACAGGGAAUUAUGGGAGUAUCAGUGAUGGGUUUCCUCUCUUUGAAGCAAACAACUUGUGAUUGCCAACUAUGUAGUCAGGCGAAUAGAAGCUGACACAAGUAUAUACCACAAAGCUUGUCAGGGAUAUGGGCUCAGGCCAUAGUUGGGAAAUCACUAAAGCUUGACCUUAGAGACACCUCCAACUCUAUU
rnacentral:lncRNA from 1 species